UAAUGUAUGGGGAUCUGCCCGAUAGAGGGGGAUAACUACUGGAAACGGUGGCUAAUACCGCAUAAUGUCUACGGACCAAAGCAGGGGCUCUUCGGACCUUGCAUAUCGGAUGAACCCAUAUGGGAUUAGCUAGUAGGUGGGGUAAAGGCUCACCUAGGCGACGAUCUCUAGCUGGUCUGAGAGGAUGAUCAGCCACACUGGGACUGAGACACGGCCCAG
rnacentral:rRNA from 1 species